UUUUAGUGGCGGACGGGUGAGUAACGCGUGGGUAACCUGCCUCACACUGGGGGAUAACACUUAGAAAUAGGUGCUAAUACCGCAUAAGCGCACGGGACUGCAUGGUCUUGUGUGAAAAACUCCGGUGGUGUGAGAUGGACCCGCGUCUGAUUAGCUGGUUGGCGGGGUAACGGCCCACCAAGGCGACGAUCAGUAGCCGGCCUGAGAGGGUGGACGGCCACAUUGGGACUGAGACACGGCCCAAACUCCUACGGGAGGCAGCAG
rnacentral:rRNA from 1 species